rnacentral:rRNA from 1 species
UGGGGAAUAUUGCACAAUGGGGGAAACCCUGAUGCAGCGACGCCACGUGAGCGAAGAAGGUUUUCGAAUCGUAAAGCUCUGUCCUAUGGGAAGAUAAUGACGGUACCAUAGGAGGAAGCCCCGGCUAACUACGUGCCAGCAGCCGCGGUAAUACGUAGGGGGCAAGCGUUGUCCGGAAUCACUGGGCGUAAAGGGUUCGCAGGCGGAAAUGCAAGUCAGUUGUGAAAGGCAGAGGCUCAACCUCUGUAAGCAAUUGAAACUGUAUUUCUUGAGAUGUGGAGAGGCAAGUGGAAUUCCUAGUGUAGCGGUGAAAUGCGUAGAUAUUAGGAAGAAUACCGGUGGCGAAGGCGACUUGCUGGACACAAACUGACGCUGAGGAACGAAAGCGUGGGUAGCAAACAGG